AGGUACACAGAGUUCAUAGCAGGCUUACUACGGGUCUAGGCGGCCUUAAGCCGAUCUGGAUCCUAGUGCCGAGCAGUUUGGGCCGUUACAAAGAGGGUACCGGUUUCCGGGCUGUUACAGUUUUAAUCUGAUAGAACAGUAAAACAGUGAGUUUAAGCUGGUAAGCAAGUACCAAGUUAUCCUAGUUAGGAUUGAUGAUCUUUUAGCUGUUCUGAUAAGAGUUGAUUAUGGUUUUAGUGUAAUCCGAGUUUGGAGUAUCCCUUUUGCGAGUUAGGAAACGAUAAAGAGAAAAGAGGAAUAAGGAUCAGAGUAGCGCAGCGAAAGCUGUGGAGUUUAGAUCUUGUU
rnacentral:lncRNA from 1 species